GAUAUUUUACACAUUAUACUCAGCUUCAUAUUUUAACUUUGCACUAUUUUAAGUUUUGGAUUCUCUUUUCUUUAAUGAUUUUCUUUUUAAACACAUUUAAUGAGCGUUGUUGGAGGGAUCUAAGAAUUUCAUUUCAAUGAUAGCUUUUCUGUAAUUGAUGUGCAUAUGACAAAAUGACUAAUUAAAGGCUCUCUUACAUAUCGUUGCUGUCAGGCGAAAAACUUGUAUGUCCAAAACUGUUGCUUUUCAGGAAAUGAAAAAAAAAAAAAAAAAAUGCUAAUUUGAAGACAUUUUAUUGAGCUAUUUAGCUUUGAAAAGUCAGAUGAAACUGCCUCGUCACUGUUUAAAUAUUUAGAAAAAAAACCACAGACAGACAGACAGACAGACAGACAGACAGACGUAAAGGGGGACAGAUCGCUUUAUAAAAAUAUAAGAUACAAGGUUUCUGCCCGGCAGCGACGAUAUACGGAAUACCAAAUGCAUGAUAUUAAUAAUAUUUUAUUACUAGUGAGUAGUUGAACAGAAGAAUAUAUAAACACAAUUAUUCUCACUUUUUUGUUUGGUUUUACCACUGAUGCUGUUUUUUAGUUUAAUAAACUUUAAUACAAAAGUCA